GACGAACGCUGGCGGCGUGCUUAACACAUGCAAGUCGAACGGAAAGGCCCUGCUUUUGUGGGGUGCUCGAGUGGCGAACGGGUGAGUAACACGUGAGUAACCUGCCCUUGACUUUGGGAUAACUUCAGGAAACUGGGGCUAAUACCGGAUAGGAGCUCCUGCUGCAUGGUGGGGGUUGGAAAGUUUCGGCGGUUGGGGAUGGACUCGCGGCUCAUCAGCUUGUUGGUGGGGUAGUGGCUUACCAAGGCUUUGACGGGUAGCCGGCCUGAGAGGGUGACCGGCCACAUUGGGACUGAGAUACGGCUCAGACUCCUACGGGAGGCAGCAGUGGGGAAUAUUGCACAAUGGGCGGAAGCCUGAUGCAGCAACGCCGCGUGCGGGAUGACGGCCUUCGGGUUGUAAACCGCUUUCGCCUGUGACGAAGCGUGAGUGACGGUAAUGGGUAAAGAAGCACCGGCUAACUACGUG
rnacentral:rRNA from 1 species